ACUGUUUUGCACCGCGGAGGUUAAUCACGAUGAAGCGUUUCCUCCGCUUGCCUCUUCUCCCACCGCCGCCAGCCAAAUCCCCCCGGGUGCAGCUCGGGGACACGCAGCGCUGUGCCCUGAGAAACAAGGAGGGAUCCAGCCUCGCACAGCAGCUGGGUGGGGAGGGAAGCACACGGGCACACAUGGACCGUGCACGUGUGCGUGCAGAUGGCAUGAGCGCACACCCCGUGCACACUCAGGCCGUGUGCAUGCACACACCCACAUGCAGAGGGCACACACGCAGCGUGCCACAGGAUGCACCCAUGGAUGCCCAGAACUGGUGGUGUGCGUGCACACACACAGACCAUGCACAAACACAGACCAUGCACACACAUGUACAGACCACACACACAUGCAGACAAUGCACAGACAUGCACAGACCAUGCACACACACGUGCAAACCAUGUGUGCAUAUGUGCAACCCACGUGCAGCCCAUGCAUGCACAUGCGUGCAGACCAUGCACACACACAGUCUGUGCGUAAUCACACAGACCGUGCACAACCAUGCACAAGCGCAUGGACCAUGCACACACACACACACACACAGACCAUGCACAAGCAUAGACCAUGCACACACACACACACACAGACUGUGCACACACAUGCAGUCCAUGCACAUGCACAUACCAUGCAUACACACACACACACACACACACACGUGCACGCGCACACCUGCGCGCACCCUCCCGCGGCGCGCGCGCACCCCCCAGGCGGGGCGGGGCGGGGCGGGCGGGCACGCGCAAGCGGAGCCUGUCCUGUCCUGUCCUGUCCUGUCCUGUCCUGUCCUGUCCUCUCCUCCCCUCUCUUCUCCCGGCCGCUCCGCUCCGCUCCGUUCCGUUCCGUUCCGCUCCGCUCCGCGCCGCUCGGUGCCGCUCGGCGCCUCGGCGCUGGAUUGGCGGGGCCUGGCGUUGGGCAGGGCCGUGCCGGGCGGGGCGGGGCGGGGCGGGGCGGGCGGAGCAGCGUCCGCCGAGGAGCGGCCG
rnacentral:lncRNA from 1 species